GACGAAGGUGGCGAGCGUUAUUCGGAAUCACUGGGCUUAAAGGGCGCGUAGGCGGAGCGGAAAGUGUCUUGUGAAAUCCCUCGGCUCAACCGAGGAAUGGCUAGGCAAACUACCGUUCUUGAGGCAAGUAGGGGUGCGUGGAACUCUUGGUGGAGCGGUGGAAUGCGUAGAUAUCAAGAGGAACGCCGAAGGUGAAGACAGCGCACUGGGCUUGUCCUGACGCUGAGGCGCGAAAGCGUGGGGAGCAAACAGGAUUAGAUACCCUGGUAGUCCACGCCGUAAACGAUGCCUACUAGGUUGUGGAGGUUCUGACACCGUCGCAGCCGAAGCAAAAGUGCUAAGUAGGCCGCCUGGGGAGUACGGUCGCAAGGCUAAA
rnacentral:rRNA from 1 species